GGUUGGUCUAAAUCCAGUGGUGUUUAAAACCAAUUGAUCACAACCAGUUACAGAUUCCUUUGUUCCUUCUCCACUCCCACUGCUUCACUUGACCAACCCUUU
rnacentral:Y_RNA from 1 species